rnacentral:rRNA from 1 species
ACUCCUACGGGAGGCAGCAGUGGGGAAUAUUGGACAAUGGGCGCAAGCCUGAUCCAGCCAUGCCGCGUGAGUGAUGAAGGCCCUCGGGUUGUAAAGCUCUUUCACCGGUGAAGAUAAUGACGGUAACCGGAGAAGAAGCCCCGGCUAACUUCGUGCCAGCAGCCGCGGUAAUACGAAGGGGGCUAGCGUUGUUCGGAUUUACUGGGCGUAAAGCGCACGUAGGCGGACUAUUAAGUCAGGGGUGAAAUCCCGGGGCUCAACCCCGGAACUGCCUUUGAUACUGGUAGUCUUGAGUUCGAGAGAGGUGGGUGGAAUUCCGAGUGUAGAGGUGAAAUUCGUAGAUAUUCGGAGGAACACCAGUGGCGAAGGCGGCUCACUGGCUCGAUACUGACGCUGAGGUGCGAAAGCGUGGGGAGCAAACAGGAUUAGAAACCCUUGUAGUCCCAUGAU